GAAGGAUGACAGUCAGAGAAGGCCUUGUGAUCUGUGUGAUGACAAAAUCACAGAGAGAUUGGGGGCUACAGAUACAGGGAGGUCUGAUCAGAUCACUGGGGAGGAGCUUGCAGAGGCAACGAGGAAGACGGCAGGCAGCAGGACCCCGACUGCUGUUCGGUAGCUACCACUCUGCUGGCUUUGAAGAUGGAGGCAGGGACUCUGAGCCAAGGAACUCAGUCCCCUCCAGAGCUGGACUCCACAAAGAAACAGUGCGCCCCCUGGAGUCCGCGGAGGAAACAGCGGUUCUAACGCCUUGACCGUAGCCACCUAAGACUCACUCCUGGUCUCUGAUUGGGAGGAGUGUAGGAAAAUAAACGUGUGUUGUCUUCAA